UUGAGAAGGAGGGACUGAAGAGGAGUCUAGCCUUACUGGAGUCGCGUGGCGUCCACCUUGACUGCAUUGUCACUGAUCGUCAUCCUCAAGUACAGAAGUUCCUCAGGGAGAGAAACAUAACCCAUUACUACGAUGUCUGGCACUUUGCAAAAGGUAUUUCAAAGAAGCUGUUGGCAAUCAGUAAGCAGAAAGACGGUGAGAAACUCAAGAAGUGGAUGAAGAGCAUCAACAACCACAUAUACUGGACUGCAGCAGGCUCAACCUCCGGGCCAGAGAGAAUCGCGAAGUGGACCUCGAUCCUGAACCAUGUUCGAGAUGUCCAUGUACAUGAAGAUCCUCUUUAUCCCAAGUGCGAGCAUGCGAUCCGCCAGACAAGUGACCGGAGUAAAUGGCUUCAAGCAGCAACUCCAACUUUCUCCAAGUUGGAGAAGUUGCUGACCAAUAAAAGGGCGCUGAAGGAUGUUGCAAAACUGAGCCUCCACCACCAAACUUCAUCUUUGGAGGCUUUCCAUGCGGUUAUUCUUCGUUUUGCCCCCAAAAAUGUUGUCUUUCCCUUUAUUGGAAUGCUGUGCAGGUUAAAGAAAGUUUGUUUACUAAAUACUUUUUGGAAUUGUAGCCUAAAA